AUGGUAGAUGACAAACUGGCCCGUCGCUCCCUUUGGGUGGGAGAGCUAGCGUGUUCGAGUCGCGCCUACCAUA